rnacentral:rRNA from 1 species
CCUACGGGGUGCAGCAGUGGGGAAUAUUGCACAAUGGGCGCAAGCCUGAUGCAGCCAUGCCGCGUGUGUGAAGAAGGCCUUCGGGUUGUAAAGCACUUUCAGCGAGGAGGAAGGUGGUGAGCUUAAUACGUUCAUCAAUUGACGUUACUCGCAGAAGAAGCACCGGCUAACUCCGUGCCAGCAGCCGCGGUAAUACGGAGGGUGCAAGCGUUAAUCGGAAUUACUGGGCGUAAAGCGCACGCAGGCGGUUUGUUAAGUCAGAUGUGAAAUCCCCGGGCUCAACCUGGGAACUGCAUUUGAAACUGGCAAGCUAGAGUCUCGUAGAGGGGGGUAGAAUUCCAGGUGUAGCGGUGAAAUGCGUAGAGAUCUGGAGGAAUACAGGUGGCGAAGGCGGCCCCCUGGACGAAGACUGACGCUGAGGCGCGACAGCGUGGGGAGCAAACAGGAUUAGAUACCCCAGUAGUC